rnacentral:misc_RNA from 1 species
CUAAUAACUAAGAUUCGUCCACGUCAUCACUAGUUAAAAUUUAACUUGCAAAUUUACUUAGGAGUAAAAAUUUUACUGGGAGUAAAAUUUCACGAGUUAAAAUUUUACUGGGAGUUAAAUUUUAACUCGUGAUGACGUGGACAAAUAUCAGUCGUUGGAU